UUCACGCGCGCCUGGGGAUUGUUUGGUCUGUUCUGUUCCACUCCCUCCUGGUUCUCACCAAGCCGGGAGCAAAUUCAGCUGGGAUUUGUUACAGAGGACUCGGAGAAGGUUCAAAUGACAAGGAAUCCGGUGUCUGAAGAUGUGCUUGUCAAAGUUUCUCUGGAAAUAGAGGGUCGCAGAAGCAGAUUCUGGGGGAGAGACUCGACUUCACGACCGUAAUUGUAAAAGAACAAGAAAUGAUUUGUUGGAAUUUCCAAGAUAUAAGAUUUUUAGGGGCUCAGUCAAACUUAGUUGUCUCAGCUUUCAUUUUCAACAUUUGCUCUACCAAGACCCUUCUGUAACUGUCAGGUCCCUGAAGGCAGGAAACGUGUCUGCCAGUUCUGAAUUGUAGUCUCCGAGGUGCUUAGUACGGUGCUCUACAAAGAAUAAACACUCAGUACCGGUGA